UACGGACAUAUCACGUUCAAAAACCGGUUCUCAUACGAUCAUCGAGGUUAAGCAACGUCAAGCCAGGUCAGUACCUAGAUGGGUGACCAUUUGUGUAUACUAGGUGCUGUAA